CCCUCAAUGUGACCAUAUCUGGACACAGGGCCCUGAAAGAGGUAAUUAAGAUUAAACAAGGUCACAUGUGGAGGCCCCGAUCCAAUGAGACUGAAAGUCUUAAAAAGAAGAGAAGCCCUGUGUGUGACUGCAUUGAAAGGAAAAAGCCGUGAAGACACAGCGAGAAGGCAGCGUCUGCAAGCCCAGGAGACGCCUCCGGGAAACAACGCCUGCAGACACCUUGAUCUUGGACAUUAUGUUUCCACUGUCCGGCCUCAGAGUGCGUGGACCUAGCUACAACAGCCUGAGGAGAACAGCACAUGGGUGCGAGGGAUUCACUGUGAGAAAGGGCCACCUCUGUUUUACCCCCGGGUUCCAUGGGUUGUGAUUAUGGAGGUGUCUCCCCCAUCUUGUGCUACUUAGAGACAUAAUCUGGGUUACUUUACAAAGAACAGAAUUUUACUUCCUCACCACUCUGGGGGCUGGGAAGUCCAAGGUCCUCUUCCCUGCAGCUGGGUCCCUGCCUGGUAAAGACCUUCUUGUUGCUUCAUCCCAUGGUGAAAGGCAGAAGGGUCAGAAAGCAUGGAGGAGAGAUGGAAAGGAACAAACUCAUCCUCUGUCAGGGGCCACUCCCGGGGCAACAGCAUGAGUCCACUCCCGGGGCAGGACCCUCAGAGCCAAUCAUCUUCGAAAGGUCCCACCUCUCCACAUUUUUGCACUAGGGAUUAAGUUUCUGACACGUGGACUUGAGAGGACACAUUCGCAGCACAGCUGGGGUGGGAGACAGCGCCACAGGAUGGUCUCCAAGUCGAAGCAUUCUUUCAAGAUGCUAACGUUCAAGUGCUGCCAUCCUGCACACCCAGGAAGCUAUUCACCUUAUGAUACCAACUGGUUCUGGGAGGUAAGUGGUGUGGGAGGGGCAGUUCAUGACUCAGACCCGGGUCCCUGUUGCACCUUCCUUCCUGGGAGGUGAGCAGUUCUGGGCAGAGCUGUGCUGGUGGAUAGAGUCUCUGGGCUCAGGAAUGGUUGUGCUUCCCAAAGCAUUAUGGGGCAGGAGAGGAAAAUUCAUAUCUGGAAUCCAUGUCUGUCCCAGUGACGGUGACUCUCUGCUCUCUGUGUUAUGGAAGUGUUCCAACGUCAUUGACCUGUUACCAGGUAUUUGACAGUCGCCCCUGGGAAAU
rnacentral:lncRNA from 1 species